rnacentral:misc_RNA from 1 species
UUUUUUCCUCGGCGUUGGCUUGUUCUCUGCUCGCUUGUGUGGGGUGUCGCCUGCCCUCCUCCCCAUCAAGGUACACGCCGUGGAGGAUACUCAUGUAUCGCCAGAGCAUUGCAGGGCUGGCGCUCGCGGCAGCGCUGGCAGAGAUCCAGCCUGCCCUGACACCGCGCCAGGAAGAGGAGAUAUGGCGCGUUUUCGACGCGGCAAUGCAGACCGCGGUUGCGGAUGCGCCUCUAAUGUCGCACAUCUCCGUGCAAACCCCACCACCUAGCUCCGUGGGCGGAGGUGGCUACGCUGCGGUGACUUCGACCGCCUCAGAGUUGUACGUUCCUGCCAGUGCUGAGGACGGCGGCGGAAUCGAUGUCGAGGAGCGGGCAGUUGGAAAGCCGACUGCAACGUCGCGGGACGGUGAGACACCGUUUGAGGACAGCCACAUCGCCUUUCCCGUGUACCGCUUGGUGGAUGACGAGUGGACGCUGCUGCUGAAAGACCCGACGGUAGUGGUGCGGAACGAGCUUGGCGUGUCCGAGAAGAUCCAACUGGACUACCUGCGAGUGCGCCUCAAGGACAUUGGUGCCCAACCGGGUGCCACGCAGCCGAAGCAAGCGCGCGCAGUGCGGGAGCGCCGCGCGUGAGCCCUUCGCUGCUGUGCGUCGUCUUGAAGUGCCAGAGCGUAUAGUGAAUACCUGACUUGGAGGUAGGGGUGGAGAAGAGACUGUAUGUCCUACUCUGCUACGCAUUCAUUGUGUGUUUGGGGAGGGGGAGGGCGCGCCAUAGCAAGUAAUCGAAGGCGCACGCAUCCUCUUCUCGGCCCGUCGCCGCUGCUGCUGCUGCUGCUGCCAGAGCUGGUUCAUGCUUCGUUGUUUUGUAGUUGAUGAUGCCGGGAACUACCACGUUAUGCCACACCUUACGGCACCACUACCUGCGACGCAUGCAGGACACGCAUACAUAUAUAUUGUCUCUGUCGCACGAUCUUUGUGCGCGUGUACUGUGACCGCACACCACCAAAGGGAAGGGAAUGCCCACAAGAAACGUAAUCGACACAGCCGAAGGCGCAUGCGGACGCGCGCGUCUCGCGCGUGCACUUUUCUAUGUCUGCUGGGGGCGAGAGAGUGUGGAGAAGAAGAGAAAUCUCUGCAGGGCGGAGCACUUCUGAAGGUAACGGAAAAAAGCUGCUCCUUUUGAAAACGUCAGCUGGUUUUUCCCUUUGGCGUGGCGUCCAUGCUAUAGCGCGUCGCCUGCUCCCAAUGUGGGUCUGUCGCUCUUCUCUCUCCGAC